rnacentral:misc_RNA from 1 species
AAAAAGAUAAGUCCAUAUUUUCACUCCCGUCCUCUCUUAUCCAUGUAUCUUCCUAGCAAAAUCUUGGAUUUCACAAAAUUGACAUCAUAUGCCAUUCAUGCAUUUUAAUGUAUUUUAGAAAGCUGCCAUCUCCAACAUUUAUGCUGGGUCUUUCUUUUACAGUAAUGAUAUGCAUGAAAAGUGGAUCAGCCAAGAAAUAAAAAAGAAAAUUUUAUAAGGACCAACACGAAAACCAUAAGAAUUGCAAAUAUAGGCCUCUCAAUUCCAAUUCUCAGCA